UACAGAGGUCUCAAGCGUUGUUCGGAUUCAUUGGGCGUAAAGCGUGCGUAGACGGUUAUUUAAGUCGGGUGUGAAAGCCCCGGGCUCAACCUGGGAAUUGCAUUCGAGACUGAAUAGCUAGGGUACGGUAGAGGGAAGCGGAAUUUCCGGUGUAGCGGUGAAAUGCGUAGAGAUGUGGAGGAACACCGAUGGCGAAGGCAGCCCCCUGGGCUAACACUGACGCUCAGGCACGAAAGCGUGGGGAGCAAACAGG
rnacentral:rRNA from 1 species